rnacentral:misc_RNA from 1 species
GAUGAAGAACGUAGCGAAAUGCGAUAACUAAUGUGAAUUGCAGAAUUCCGUGAAUCAUCGAGUCUUUGAACGCACAUUGCGCCCCCUGGUAUUCCGGGGGGCAUGCCUGUCCGAGCGUCAUUGCUGCCCAUCAAGCACGGCUUGUGUGUUGGGUCCCGUCCCCCUCUCCCGGGGGACGGACCCGAAAGGCAGCGGCGGCACCGCGUCCGGUCCUCGAGCGUAUGGGGCUUUGUCACCCGCUCUUGUAGGCCCGGCCGGCGCUUGCCGACACCCAACCAUUUUUUUCAGGUUGACCUCGGAUCAGGUAGGGAUACCCGCUGAACUUAAGCAUAUCAAUAAGCGGAGA